UCUUUUUGUGUAUGAAUUAUAUAGUUUUUAUUUGUUUUCGCUUAUUAAUUGUAUCAUUUUUAUUUAGGCCUACUAAGGACCAUGGAAGAGUAUGUCAAUGCAAAGGGGUCAUUCUCAAAACCCACAAGGGAUACUAGAAAAUCACCUAAUCAGUUCCAGUUCUCUAGUACGCCAUAAUUAGUUGUUGAAUCUUUCCUUCUGUAUUUUUUUUUUCUCCAUUAAAUAUCAUGCUGACAAUGUAUAUUACGUCAACUAGGUAAAGAAGAUGCAGAAGAGUGCACAAAGUCAACUUCAGAAGAUUGUAAAGGAGCAAGAAAAGAUAACAGCCGAGUUAGAAGGCCAGAGCAAAUCACUGCAGGAACUUGAGAAAGAAUUGAAGAAAAAGGAGAUCCAAAAUGAAAAGAAGAGACUCAAGCUCCAAUUUGAGAAUAUUAUGAAGGAGAGAGCAACCUUGGAGGAAAAGAAAAGGUUGGAGGAAGAACAAAAGCGAGAAAAGGAAAAGCUUUAUACAAGGAUUACUGAACUAGAGAAGAAACUUGAUGCCAAACAAGCAUUGGAGUUGGAGGUAGAGUGCAUGAGAGGGGCACUACAAGGCAUUGUGAGAAACAUGGGUGAGGGUAGGGAGAAGGAAGUGGUUCAACUAGAGCUAAAACAAAAGGAACAAGAACUUGAAGAUCUAAGAACUCUGAAUCAAGCACUUAUUAAUAAGGAAUCUGAAAUCAAUGCUGAGUUGCAAGCAGCUCGAAAAGUGUUAAGUGAUAAUGCGAGAGCAACCUUGGAGGAAAAGAAAAGGUUGGAAGAAGAACAAAAGAGAGAAAAGGAAAAGUUUCAUGCAAGGAUUAUUGGACUAGAGAAGAAACUUGAUGCCAGACAAGCAUUGGAGUUGGAGUUAGAGUCUAUGAGAGGGGCACUACGAGGCAUUGUGAGAAACAUGGGUGAGGAUAGGGAGCAGGAUGUGGUUCAACUAGAGCGCUAAAACAAAAGGAUCAAGAACUUGAAGAUCUAAGAUCUCUGAAUCAAACACUUAUUAAUAAGGAAUCUGAAAGCAAUGCUGAGUUGCAAGCUGCUCGAAAAGAGUUAAUUGACCCUUGAAGGAACAGUCUUCUCGGGCUUCUAUAGGUGUCAAGCUGAUGGAAGAUCUUGACAGUGGAGCAUUCUGCAUUGCAGCCAAAAGAAAAUAUGGUGAAAAAGCUACUGAUGAUGAAGCUGCAAAGCUAAUGUCAUUGUGAGGGGAGUACUUAAAGGAUCCUAGCUGGCAUCCUUUUAAAAUCAUCAAUGUUGAAGGAAGUGAAAAGGAAAAGGAAAUCAUUGAUGAAGAUAAUGGAAAAUUAACAUAUCUAAAGAAUGAGUUUGGUGAUGAAGCGUGCUCAGCUGUGAAGAUUGCCUUGAUCGAGAUGAAUGAAUACAACCCUAGUGGUAGGUACAUAGUACAAGAAAUGUGGAACUACAAAGAAUGAAGGAAAGCCACACUCGGAGAGGGGGUGUCGCAUGUAGUUAAGUUGUGGAAAGUGCAAAAGCGAAUGAGAUAUAAAAGGUUCGUUAUAAGAUUGACUCUUGCAUCAACAUCAUAUAAAGGUCACUAUAUAAUGUUGUAAAUACUUUCUGUGCACCUGUUUUCAUGUUUUUUUAUUUUAUUUUUUAUAGUGGUUGCUAUCAUAUUUUGUGGAUAAGUCAUAAAUUUUGUAUAAUAUAUGUCAUGUUAUGCAUUUUGAUUGUGAGGAUUCAAAUGAUAAACAGAGAACUUGAUUUGGACACAGUGAUGUGAUAAUCAUAAACAUUUUUUUGCC